UACGUAGGGCGCAAGCGUUGUCCGGAAUUAUUGGGCGUAAAGAGCUCGUAGGCGGCCUGUUACGUCUGCUGUGAAAUCCCGGGGCUUAACCCCGGGCGUGCAGUGGAUACGGGCAGGCUGGAGGCAGGCAGGGGAGAACGGAAUUCCCGGUGUAGCGGUGAAAUGCGCAGAUAUCGGGAGGAACACCGGUGGCGAAGGCGGUUGCCUGGGGCUUUGCUGACGCUGAUGCGCGAAAGCGUGGGGAGCGAUCCGG
rnacentral:rRNA from 1 species